AUUGAACGCUGGCGGCAUGCCUUACACAUGCAAGUCGAACGGCAGCGGACCUUCGGGUGCCGGCGAGUGGCGAACGGGUGAGUAAUGCAUCGGAACGCGUCCUGUAAUGGGGGAUAACCUGGCGAAAGUCAGGCUAAUACCGCAUACGUCCUGAGGGAGAAAGCGGGGGAUUGGCAACGACCUCGUGUUAUAGGAGCGGCCGAUGUCGGAUUAGCUAGUUGGUGGGGUAAAGGCCUACCAAGGCAAAGAUCGGUAGCCGGCCUGAGAGGGCACACGGCCACACUGGCACUGAAAUACGGGCCAGACUCCUACGGGAGGCAGCAGUGGGGAAUCUUGCACAAUGGGGGAAACCCUGAUGCAGCGACGCCGCGUGAGCGAUGAAGCCCUUCGGGGUGUAAAGCUCUUUCGACGGGAACGAUAAUGACGGUACCCGGAGAAGAAGCUGCGGCUAACUACGUA
rnacentral:rRNA from 1 species